UACGUAGGCAGCAAGCGUUGUUCGGAGUUACUGGGCGUAAAGGGUGCGUAGGCGGUCCUGUAAGUAUGGUGUGAAAUCUCCCGGCUUAACUGGGAGGGUGCGCUAUAGACUGCGGGACUAGAGGGGGGGAGAGGAAAGUGGAAUUCCUGGUGUAGCGGUGAAAUGCGUAGAUAUCAGGAGGAACACCGGUGGUGUAAACGGCUUUCUGGACCAUUUCUGACGCUGAGGCACGAAAGCGUGGGUAGCAAACAGG
rnacentral:rRNA from 1 species